rfam:Dipodomys ordii ctg_broad_rename0011611, whole genome shotgun sequence.
GUUAAGAUGGCAGAGCCAGGUAAUUGCAUAAGAUUUAAAACUUUAUAACCAGAGGUUCAACUCCUCUUCUUAACA